UACGUAGGGACCGAGCGUUGUCCGGAAUCAUUGGGCGUAAAGAGCGUGUAGGCGGCCUUUUAAGUCCUGCGUGAAAUCCUGCGGCUCAACCGCAGACGGUCGUGGGAAACUGGAAGGCUAGAGUGCGGGAGAGGAGAGUGGAAUUCCCGGUGUAGCGGUGAAAUGCGCAGAUAUCGGGAAGAACACCCGUGGCUAAGGCGGCUCUCUAGUACGGUACUGACGCUGAGACGCGAAAGCGUGGGGAGCGAACAGG
rnacentral:rRNA from 1 species